AGUGAACGCUGGCGGUAGGCCUAACACAUGCAAGUCGAACGGCAGCACAGUAAGAGCUUGCUCUUACGGGUGGCGAGUGGCGGACGGGCGAGGAAUACAUCGGAAUCUACUUUUUCGUGGGGGAUAACGUAGGGAAACUUACGCUAAUACCGCAUACGACCUACGGGUGAAAGCAGGGGAUCUUCGGACCUUGCGCGAUUGAAUGAGCCGAUGUCGGAUUAGCUAGUUGGCGGGGUAAAGGCCCACCAAGGCGACGAUCCGUAGCUGGUCUGAGAGGAUGAUCAGCCACACUGGAACUGAGACACGGUCCAGACUCCUACGGGAGGCAGCAGUGGGGAAUAUUGGACAAUGGGCGCAGGCCUGAUCCAGCCAUACCGCGUGGGUGAAGAAGGCCUUCGGGUUGUAAAGCCCUUUUGUUGGGAAAGAAAAGCAGCAGGUUAAUACCCCGCUGUUCUGACGGUACCCAAAGAAUAAGCACCGGCUAACUUCGUG
rnacentral:rRNA from 1 species